rnacentral:rRNA from 1 species
AUUGAACGCUGGCGGCAGGCCUAACACAUGCAAGUCGAGCGAGCGGCGGACGGGUGAGUAAUGUCUGGGAAACUGCCUGAUGGAGGGGGAUAACUACUGGAAACGGUAGCUAAUACCGCAUACCAUCAGAUGUGCCCAGAUGGGAUUAGCUAGUAGGUGGGGUAACGGCUCACCUAGGCGACGAUCCCUAGCUGGUCUGAGAGGAUGACCAGCCAAACUGGCACUGAGACACGGCCCAGACUCCUCCGGGAGGCAUCAGGUGGUAAUAUUGCACAAUGGGCGCAAGCCUGAUGCAGCCAUGCCGCGUGUGUGAAGAAGGCCUUGGGGUUGUAAAGCACUUUCAGCGGGGAGGCGUUACCCGCAGAGGAAGCACCGGCUAACUCCGUGCCAGCCGCCGCGGUAAUAC